UACGUAGGGUGCAAGCGUUAAUCGGAAUUACUGGGCGUAAAGCGUGCGCAGGCGGUUUGGUAAGACAGAUGUGAAAUCCCCGGGCUUAACCUGGGAAUUGCAUUUUGUGACUGCAUCGCUAGAGUACGGCAGAGGGGGGAUGGAAUUCCGCGUGUAGCAGUGAAAAUGCGUAGAUAUGCGGAGGAACACCGAUGGCGAAGGCAAUCCCCCUGGGCCUGUACUA
rnacentral:rRNA from 1 species